ensembl:snoRNA U3 Small nucleolar RNA U3
AAGACUAUACUUUUAGGAAUCAUUUCUAUAGUUCAUUACUAGAGAAGUUUCUCUGACUGUGUACAGUACCAGAAACCAGGAGGAAGAGACAUAGCAUUCUCUCCUGAACAUAAGACUGGCUCUUGGUAGUUUUGCUGCAACUGCCACUUACCGUUAAUGGUCGUUUUCUCUUUCAGGAGAGUGGAGGGAGAGAAUGCAGUCUGAGUGGA